AUACGUAGGGCGCGAGCGUUGUCCGGAAUUACUGGGCGUAAAGGGCGCGUAGGCGGCGCUUCAAGUCGUCUGUCAAAUGGGAGGGCUUAACCCUUUUUCGCAGACGAAACUGGAGAGCUUGAGAAGCAGAGAGGCAAACAGACUUCCUGGUGUAGCGGUGAAAUGCGUAGAUAUCAGGAAGAAUACCAGUGGCGAAGGCGGUUUGCUGGCUGCAUACUGACGCUGAAGCGCGAAAGCCAGGGGAGCAAACGGGAUUAGAUACCCCGGUAGUCCUGGCAGUAAACGAUGUAUGCUGGGUGUGAGACUAGCGAUAGUUUCGUGCCGAAGUUAACGCGAUAAGCAUACCGCCUGGGGAGUACGGUCGCAAGAUUGAAACUCAAAUGAAUUGACGGGG
rnacentral:rRNA from 1 species